rnacentral:rRNA from 1 species
CAGCAGCCACGGUAAUGCGAAGGGGGCUAGCGUUGCUCGGAAUUACUGGGCGUAAAGGGCGCGUAGGCGGACAGUUCAGUCGGGGGUGAAAGCCCGGGGCUCAACCUCGGAAUUGCCUUCGAUACUGGCUGUCUUGAGUAUGAGAGAGGUGUGUGGAACUCCGAGUGUAGAGGUGAAAUUCGUAGAUAUUCGGAAGAACACCAGUGGCGAAGGCGACACACUGGCUCAUUACUGACGCUGAGGCGCGAAAGCGUGGGGAGCGAACAGGAUUAGAUACCCCCGUAGUCCCUGUCUCUUAUAA